AUGGGGCAGGAAGGCACAAGCAGGAGGGUGCACGGGGCAGGGAGGUGCAUGGGGUGGGGGGGCACACGGGGCAGGAAGGCACGGGCACGGGGUGCCCGGGGGUGCAGCUGGCAGCUGGCUGCAGGGCACGCAGGCGGUGAAGGGCACGGAGCCCCGCGCACCCACCUGCUCGUCCCGGCUGGUGACGGAGGUGAGCUGCGCCUGCUUGGAGAGGCAGAACUCCUUCGCCUCGCGCCAGGGCUUCUGGUCCCCCGAGAAGUAGUAGAUCUUCCCCUUGUGGUACCUCCAGCCCAGGCCCAGCCCCUGCAGCCACCGCCCUGGGGACAGCGGCGGGGCUCGGUGCCACGGCCCCGCGGCCGUGCCGUGGGGCACAGGGGGGCACGCGGGGGAGGCACGGCCCUGCCCCGUCCCCUUGGGGUCUGUCCACACGUCCCAACGUUACCCAAAAAGUCCCUGCGCCUCUGUGCCACGUCGGGGCUGUCACCGGGGCUCCGUGAACCUGGCCGGGGGACAGCAGGGACAGGAGCCGUGGCACAGCCCUGCCCGCACCCCGGUGCCGCCGGGCGCACUCACCAUCGGGGCCGGGCGGCAGCAGCGGCCCCAGCGCCUCCAGCUCUGCCCGUGCCACCCGCAGCUCCGCCUGGUCCCGUGCGCCUGGGGAGGGCGGGGGGGGGUCAGGGCAGCCCCAGCCUCCUGCCUGCCCCCCACGGGGUGAGGGUCCCCAGCCCGGCCGCACUUACGCAGGGUGGCGACGGCCGUCAGGGCGGCCCCCAGGGCCAGGAGGGCCGCCAAGCCCACGGCCAGCAGAGUGCCCAGCACCCGGCGGGACGGGGACGGCCGGGACCCGAAAUCCAGCACUGCGGAGAGACGGCAGAGGGGUCCUCAGCCGGCGCUGAUCCGGACCCCCCAGGACCCAGCACCCCCGGGCCCCCAGCCCCACGGAGAGGAGCCCCGGGGCUGGAGGGGGAGCCCCGCGGGCCCACCUUGCUCACCGUGCGGGUAGCGGAUCUGCAGGUUCUCGUACAGGUCCGGCCCCUCGGUGGCCAUCCCGUAGCUGGCCGAGCCCACAGCCGCUUCCUCCCGGAGCCCUGCGCGUGGCAGCCCCAGCGACCGAAACUGCCAGGAAAGGGAAGGCGGCAGCCGGGGGGGCACGGCACUGCUUGGGGUGCCACCGCCCAGGCUGGACAGGGAUUCCCCCGUCCCAAAGGGACAGACCUCCACGCAGGGCUUGUGGCCACAUCCCGGCUUGCUGCCCAUGGCCGGCCACCCCACGGGGCCACCCUGCAUGGGGGAUCCCUGUCCCCCACCCCACGGCCAGCCCUGGCCGGUGGUGACCCAGGGGUGGCUCCCGUGGGGACACAUCGGGCUCGUGGGGACGGCACGGGGGGACAGCCCCAGCCCUGCUCAGCCGCAGGCGCAGCAGCACAGGGGGGACCCCUCGGGGCUUGGUGCAGGCAGCACCCGUGUCCUCAGGGGGAGCAGGGCCAGGUCCCCAGCAUGUCCCCAGGGGGAGCAGGGCCACGUCCCCGACGUGCCCAGGGGACACUGCCCAGCUCCAUCACCCCUCGCCUGGCCUGCGCUGCCUCCCGGCCACCCAGCGCCAACCCUGCCCCCAUACCAGCCUUGCCCCUGCCCCAGCCCUGGUUUUGUUCCCGAGCACAUCCCCACCGCAGCCGCGUUCCGCUUUUUGCCCUCAGACGCAGAAUCGCGUCCGGGAACCCCUGGCAAGCAGCGCAGAUGUUACGCCUCGCUUCUCGUUAG
ensembl:lncRNA